GUCUUAGCCCAUCCAGGGCUGGGUGGAAGCAGUGGUUGUCCUGGUAACACAAGCUCCUGGGUCGCAGUUAGGCCUGCCUGGCUGGGAGCCUAUAAGCCCAGCGAGCCCUGAGGGUAGGGCGUCCCCCUGCUCCUGACUUGCAUCUGGGACGGGCCAGUCCUUGAGCUUCUAUCCCCUCUGUCCAGCCUCUGGGGGCCCUAUGGGAACCCCCAAGUGGUUCUUUCAACUCUGAGAAGGCUGCCACCCUUACAGAAGUUCCUGGCCGAAGGGCAGAGGAAACCGGCUCAGCCAGAAGGGUUCCCCUGGGCCUCCGCUGGGUAUCCUGUCUUUUCGCUCUGCACGCCCCUCCCUCUGGGGGGCAGGCUUGGCGCUACAAUGGAAGCGAGAAUUCCUUGCCUCUUCCUAAAUCCGCUUCCCCGGGGUCCUCAGCUCCCCAAAGGGCCCGGGUCUGCUUGGCCAGCCCAUCCCCGCGCACGCGCCUGGGAGGAGAGAGAGGGAGCGCCAUGUACCAGGGUGCAGACCAGUCGUCUGCCCUGGGCUCACCUGUGUGGGAGUCCGUCGGCCCAGUAGGUCGGCGGCCUCCCUCCUUCCCGGGAUGGGAAGAUACCGAGAUGAACUUCAAGUCCCGACUGCAGAGGGUGAUCCUGCUCCAGACUUGACCAGUUUAAACCUUCAAAAGACAGAUGCCGCCGCCGCCGCCGCCGCCGCUGCCGCCGCCUUCCACAGGCUCCGCUGUCUCCACGGAAACCUCACUUCCGCUUCCGAAUGCGCCGCGUGCUGCCCCCUCUGAUUGGCUGCUUCUCUCGUCGGUCCGCGGGGUGGGACCAACAGCCGCCCUCAGAUGCUAGGUACCCCAGCAUGCACCGCAAGACGUCAGCUCCCAGCAGGCCAUGCUCUAUCCAGCUCGGGCAGCUCCCACCAGGGAAAGUGGUUGCUGUCCCCUUCGCCUGGUUUCUUUGGCAUGUAUGGCGGCUCUGAUGUCCCCGACUCCUAGAGGUCAGGCUCAGCGGACCUGCCCAAGCACCGGGUACCUCCCCCAAACCAGCACGUUAGGGCCUGACUCCAGGCCGGACUGGUCAGUGCCCAUCUGGCUUCUAUCCCCAUACCUUUUUUUGCCAUCCCCAGUUGUGGGCAUGUGGAGGAGAAACUGAACCUAAAUAAAAUUAAGGA